rnacentral:lncRNA from 1 species
UCAGGUUUGUGAAAAAUCAGACAUGGAAUAUGAAUCUGCCAUGAUUGCAACCCCCAGUUGCAUGUGAGAAAAAUGGAUCGAUUGUUGAAUUUAAUCAAUCACAUGACCUCUGCAAUGCCCAGAGAGAGUGAGGCUCAAAUUCACCAUGCCUGAUCGGGUUUGCUUUAGAAAAAAUACCAUCACAGCCUCUCAAAAUUAGUAUUGUAAUCAGAUCAUUUUCAGUUCCAUCACCACCACCAACCAAAAGAAAAGAAAGAGGGGGAGUUACCCAGUUGGGUUUGCUCGGAGUUUAGAUCUGAUCGGAAUUGCUCGGAGUUUAGAUCUGAGAAGAAUGGUGGGUUUAGAGAGAGAAUGGAUAUGGAUUUUUGGUAACAAAAAUCCUCCUGCUCCUGAUACUCUGCAAUGGUGAAGAAGGAUGCAGAUGGAUUUCUAAGUCAAUUGCUGAUUCCUGGAGGUGUUGACUGUAUUGAUGGGAAGAG